rnacentral:misc_RNA from 1 species
GAUGAAGAACGCAGUGAAACGCGAUAUGUAAUGUGAAUUGCAGAAUUCAGUGAAUCAUCGAAUCUUUGAACGCACAUGGCGCCUUCCAGUAUCCUGGGAGGCAUGCCUGUCCGAGCGUCGUUUCAACCCUCGAGCCCCCGUGGCCCGGCGUUGGGGAUCUGCCCAGGCAGUCCCCGAAAACCAGUGGCGGACCCGAUACAGGCCCUUCCCUUGCGUAGUAGCAUUCGCCUCGCAUCGGGAGCCGGCGGGCUUCCAGCCUCUAAACCCCCAUCAAGUCCGCCCCGGCGGCACCAAGGUUGACCUCGGAUCAGGUAGGAAUACCCGCUGAACUUAAGCAUAUCAAUAAGCGGAGGA